rnacentral:rRNA from 1 species
CCUACGGGAGACAGCAGUGGGGAAUAUUGCACAAUGGGCGAAAGCCUGAUGGAGCAACGCCGCGUGGGUGAAGAAGGUCUUCGGAUCGUAAAACCCUGUUGUUAGAGAAGAAAGUGCGUGAGAGUAACUGUUCACGUUUCGACGGUAUCUAACCAGAAAGCCACGGCUAACUACGUGCCAGCAGCCGCGGUAAUACGUAGGUGGCAAGCGUUAUCCGGAUUUAUUGGGCGUAAGGGGAACGCAGGCGGUCUUUUAAGUCUGAUGUGAAAGCCUUCGGCUUAACCGGAGUAGUGCAUUGGAAACGGGGAGACUUGAGUGCAGAAGAGGAGAGUGGAACUCCAUGUGUAGCGGUGAAAUGCGUAGAUAUAUGGAAGAACACCAGUGGCGAAAGCGGCUCUCUGGGCUGUAACUGACGCUGAGGUUCGAAAGCGUGGGUAGCAAACAGGAUUAGAUACCCGGGUAGUC